rnacentral:siRNA from 1 species
CCUUAUGAAGUCUCCACCACCA